AUAGAAAUACAAUGCAUAAAUAAAAAAUAUAUUUUUAUACAAUUAAUAUAUUUUCAUAUAAUAAGUAAUCGCAUAAAAAUAAAGCAAUUCUUAAAAUUUUAACUAAAAGCCUAUCGCUUCUCUGGUGUUUAUCGAGAAGAACGCCAACAAUAAUAAUCAAAGUGACCUUUUCUUUAAUUCUGCAAGCAGUUUUCCAAAACGAGUUUUUGCACCCUUGAGAAAAAGGAAACUGAACUAUACUCUAUUUCAGAAGUGUAUAGAGCAAUAAACUGGGGAAUUCCGUUCUGUAUGACAGUUCGUCAGAUGACGAAGAGGACUACAAUCUAUUAUAAUUUAAAAUUGUUAUACACUGUUCAAAAAGUGCCAGAUCCAAAAGUGACAUUUUCAACUGUUUUACUCUACAUAUUAUGUUCAAUAAAUUUGUGAAAAAAAUAUAUUAUUCCAUUUAAACAAAAGUAACUUUCUAAAAUAAAAUAGCAUUUAAGUACAUUAAAUAUAAGGUAAAAAACAAGUCCCAGUUGCACGCCUUUGGCGAACCGUUUUCAAUGUUUAUCAGUGGGUAACAAUGGGCAAAACUCAUAAAUUGACCCAAAACCGGGUGGCACUACCUGCAAUCAACGAAAAGAAAGAAUUUUACAUUGAAACUAAUACCCAACUAAGGUAGUGGCAUAAAAUAUUGGUGGAUCACCAGGUACCACUUUUGCAUACCUAAUGAGGUUUUAUUGCUCUACACACUUCUGAAAUAGAGUAAUAUAAUUAAAUUUCAUAUUAUGGCACUAAAUUUAAGUUAUAAAUAUACAAAAUGAUUGGCGACCCACUGUAGCCUGUGUCCCAUUUUGGACGAGAUUUCACGGUAUCUCUGUAAUUUUUUAAGAUAUACCUUUGCGGUUUUCGCAACCCCGCAAACCACAAGCAGAAAUAUUUUAACUACUUUUGUUACUGAAAUACAGGGCAAAAACGAAAAUGUUCACUUUUCGAGAUAUUUUUCAGGCCCUGUAUAAGAUAGAAAAAAAAUGAGAACUGCUUAAUAAUAGAUAUUUUGAUAUAAAAGUCGGUGGCGUAUUUAAAAAUUUUUUAGGGUACUGUUUUUAAGAUUGGGCGCAAACUUGGUAUUUUUUAAAUGGAACACCCUAUACAGGUGAUUGAUGGUUGAUGGUACCUUAGACGUUUACGGAGAACGGAAAAUGGAUUUUUUUUGAAAAUUUGGCAUCAUUUUUAAAAUACGUCGGCUUUUAUAAAUGACAUAUAUAGUAUAGUCUGGCAAGUCGAUCUGAAACAGCGGCAGGAAUGUGGGCCAAAAUAUUCGACGUUGCCACCUCAAAACGUAAUUGUGCGAGACUUACUUUCUAAUAAUAUGCAAUAUAAGAUUUUUUACAAUCACAAGAUAUAGAGGGUAAAAUGUUAAGAAUUAUAAUCUAAAUAGUUAUUUCAUUUUGGCUUUAAUACGCAAUUGAUUUACCAUUAAAUAUGGUACAAUUAAAUGUUUGUCCAAAAAAUGGAUCAUGUUUAGUAAAUCUGGCAACAUUACGUUCCACCUUUACAUUCCUACAUCUACUUCUUGUAUAAUAGGGGUCAGCCAUUAUGAACCUGAACGCUUGUGAUUGGUUUCCCUCGCCGCACGUGUUUUUGUUAUGAAUUAUUUCGACAGUUCAUUGGACAGCGUCUUUGUCACCUGUUUACAAUCCUUUCUGCCGUUUCAAAACAUUGAUUACUAUUGAAGGGUGGACAGUGGCGUACGUUUUAUCGUUGAUUUUUGGAUUCCGUUUAUUUUAAUUAUUAUUCUAAUAUUUAAUUUUUUAGUUUGUUUUAUUAUUGUCUACAUAUAUACGAAUAAUAACAUUUAUUAUAAUGAAUAAAUUCACUGAGGGUAAGGUCCUUCAUAGCAAACGAGGAAAGUGAUAGCAAACGUUUACAGGAUUUGCGAUGAAGAAGCUGCAACUAGUUCGAUGAAAUUGCCUCUUAAGCGUAAGUUUGAUCGCGUUUCCCUUUAUACCGGAGUCUCCGUAUCAUCCGUGAGAAAAAUUCACAAGGAAGAUGAAGAAAGGCGACAAAAUAACCCUGAUGAAAUGUUAGCCAGUCCAGGGAAAAAACGGCCACGGAAAACUGUCGUCGAAAAAGAUGACAGUUUUCAUUUUCAAAUAGUUAGGCAUUGUAUCACCAGAUUUUACCUGGAAUAUAAAGUGGUUCCGACAACUAGAAAGUUGUUAAGAAAAUUCAAAGAAGAGGCAAAAUUUUCCUAUUCCAGGGAAACGCUUCGGCUUUUAUUAAAGUCAAAUGGCUUUUUUUGGCGUAAGUGUCAAAAUAAGAGGAAAAUCUUAAUGGAGAGGCCCACUAUUCUUUCCUGGAGAUACAAAUAUCUUCGCGAAAUACGAAAAUAUCGUGAAGAAGGCCGAAACAUUAUUUACUUGGACGAAACUUGGGUGGAUAACGAUUUGACGUUGAAGAAAUGUUGGCAGAGCGAUACGGUUACUGGUGUUUUAAAAAAUAUUAGUUCAACGGGUCGGCUAAUAAUUGUUCAUGCAGGUUCCGACAAGGGUUUUGUGGACAAUGCCUGUUUAAAAUUUAAAGCCGGAAGGUGAUUAACAUGGCCAAAUGAAUAGGGUUUUAAAAUUUUACUAGAUUGCUCAAGGAAAAACUUCUCCCAAAUAUACCU